rnacentral:rRNA from 1 species
GACGAACGCUGGCGGCGUGCUUAACACAUGCAAGUCGAACGGAAAGGCCCUGCUUGCAGGGUGCUCGAGUGGCGAACGGGUGAGUAACACGUGGGUGAUCUGCCCCUUACUUUGGGAUAAGCCUGGGAAACUGGGUCUAAUACUGGAUAGGACCAUGCUGUAGGUGGUGUGGUGGAAAGAUUAGUUUCGGUAAGGGAUGAGCUCGCGGCCUAUCAGCUUGUUGGUGGGGUAAUGGCCUACCAAGGCGUCGACGGGUAGCCGGCCUGAGAGGGUGGACGGCCACAUUGGGACUGAGAUACGGCCCAGAAUCCUACGGGAGGCAGCAGUGGGGCAUAUUGCACAAUGGGCGCAAGCCUGAUGCAGCGACGCCGCGUGGGGGAUGACGGCCUUCGGGUUGUAAACUCCUUUCAGCCAUGACGAAGCCCUUGUGGUGACGGUAGUGGUAGAAGAAGCACCGGCUAACUACGUG